ACAGCCAGGAUGUUGGCUUAGAAGCAGCCAUCAUUUAAAGAAAGCGUAAUAGCUCACUGGUCGAGUCGGCCUGCGCGGAAGAUGUAACGGGGCUAAACCAUGCACCGAAGCUGCGGCAGCGACACUAUGUGUUGUUGGGUAGGGGAGCGUUCUGUAAGCCUGUGAAGGUGUACUGUGAGGUAUGCUGGAGGUAUCAGAAGUGCGAAUGCUGACAUAAGUAACGAUAAAGCGGGUGAAAAGCCCGCUCGCCGGAAGACCAAGGGUUCCUGUCCAACGUUAAUCGGGGCAGGGUGAGUCGACCCCUAAGGCGAGGCCGAAAGGCGUAGUCGAUGGGAAACAGGUUAAUAUUCCUGUACUUGGUGUUACUGCGAAGGGGGGACGGAGAAGGCUAUGUUGGCCGGGCGACGGUUGUCCCGGUUUAAGCGUGUAGGCUGGUUUUCCAGGCAAAUCCGGAAAAUCAAGGCUGAGGCGUGAUGACGAGGCACUACGGUGCUGAAGCAACAAAUGCCCUGCUUCCAGGAAAAGCCUCUAAGCAUCAGGUAACAUCAAAUCGUACCCCAAACCGACACAGGUGGUCAGGUAGAGAAUACCAAGGCGCUUGAGAGAACUCGGGUGAAGGAACUAGGCAAAAUGGUGCCGUAACUUCGGGAGAAGGCACGCUGAUAUGUAGGUGAAGUCCCUCGCGGAUGGAGCUGAAAUCAGUCGAAGAUACCAGCUGGCUGCAACUGUUUAUUAAAAACACAGCACUGUGCAAACACGAAAGUGGACGUAUACGGUGUGACGCCUGCCCGGUGCCGGAAGGUUAAUUGAUGGGGUCAGCGCAAGCGAAGCUCUUGAUCGAAGCCCCGGUAAACGGCGGCCGUAAC
rnacentral:rRNA from 1 species